UCAUAUUCAAGAUGGCGGCUUCCAUGAAAAGUCUCCGUAUACCAAUGACCUUUCAGCGAUGGCGUUGGUUGUGGCACAAAACAUCUUUGCGAAGUUUGACCUCUCACUCCAUUGCCUCUGAAUCAGACGCUGUCCACUAUGAUGUCAUCGUGGUAGGAGGUGGCCACGCUGGGACAGAGGCGGCUUGUGCUUCAGCAAGAGUUGGCAGUCGGACAUUAUUAGUUACACAUAAGAUAGAAACAAUAGGCGAAAUGUCCUGUAAUCCAUCAUUUGGAGGGAUAGGUAAAGGACAUUUGAUGACAGAAGUUGAUGCCCUUGGGGGAGUUUGUGCUCGGAUCUGUGAUCAAUCUGGUAUCCAUUAUAAAGUUUUGAAUAGAAGCAAAGGACCUGCUGUCUGGGGUUUACGUGCCCAGAUAGACCGAGAUCUGUACAAGAAAAAUCUACAGACAGAUGUCAUGACAACUGAAAAUCUAACAGUAGUUGCCUCCCCUGUUGAGGACCUCAUCCUACAAGAACCACACGACCCUCAGCAUCAACUCACCAAACAAGCGUGUGUGGGGGUAGUACUAGGCAAUGGAGAAAAGGUUUAUAGCAAAGCAGUAGUACUGACCACAGGGACAUUUUUACGAGGUAGUAUUAACAUCGGACUGACCACCUGGGCAGCUGGAAGGAUGGGAGAUAAACCCUCAGUGGGGCUGGCCAGGAGUAUUGAGAAUGCUGGGUUCUCCAUUGGAAGAUUAAAAACUGGAACUCCUCCAAGAUUGGAUGCGAAGACUGUUGACUUCUCUAAGACUGAAGUAAAGAAGGCAGAUGACCACCCACGACCUUUCUCUUUUAUCAAUGACAGAGUGUGGAUCUCAGCGAAUGAACAAGUUGACUGUCACAUGACAUAUACAAAUCCAGAGGUAGACAAAAUUGUCACAGAAACCAUUGACAAGAAUCGCCAUGUCAUGGAAGAGAUAAAUGGUCCAAGGUAUUGUCCCUCCUUGGAGUCGAAAGUCUUGAGGUUCAAAGGUCGCUCACAUCAAAUAUGGCUUGAACCUGAAGGGUUCAACAAUGAGCUAGUUUACCCUGCUGGCCUCGGAUGUACCAUGCCUGAAGAGGACCAGGUCAGGAUCAUACGAUGUAUAAAAGGACUGGAGAGGGCAGCCCUUGUAAAGCCUGGCUACGGUGUUGAAUAUGACUACAUAGACCCCAGACAACUCGGUACAACCCUGGAAACCCUAAGGAUCCAGAACCUGUUCUUUGCGGGACAGAUCAAUGGAACCACAGGCUAUGAAGAAGCAGCUGCACAGGGUAUACUGGCAGGUAUAAAUGCUGCUCUCAAAGUACAGAACAAAGCUAGUCUAACAAUUGACCGGACACAGGGCUACAUUGGUGUUCUAGUGGACGACUUGACUACCCUCGGAACCAAUGAACCAUAUCGUAUGUUUACCAGUCGUGCCGAGUACAGGCUGAGUUUACGACCGGAUAAUGCGGACUUGCGCCUCACAGAGAAAGAGAUAAAGAUGUCGGGUUUCCAGACUUGUCUACUGACAAACAACUCCAUGCACCUGAACGAUCUGCAUUUUCGGUACUGAUGAAUUCUUGUAGCCAGACAAAAACACCACCUUUCAGGAAUAAUACUGAACACUUUACAGCCAAAGAUAAACUUUUCAACGAUUUACUUCAGGAAUUGAAGGAUGCAGGCGACAGAUUUCCUUCCUCAAUGUCGGAAAAAGCAAUGGCUGAUCAGAUCCAGAUCGUCCUUAAUUCAUUAUGGAACAUCAGUGGCAAUGUCGAAACAAUAAAUGAGAGGUCAAUCCAUACACCAGCUGUGAAACCAGUCCCCCAAAGGGUUGCAAGAAUAAUGUCUUGACUGCUCAAAACGUGCGACUGAUCAUCAACUGUCGUGAAUGUGAAAGCCAAGAUGUAUAUACUCCAAGCUGAGACUGACUCCAAGAGAUAGCAGGUCCCUUAAACAUACUCUUGAAAAGUAUGACUACAAGAGAUAGCAGGUCCCUUAAACAUACUCUUGAAAAGUAUGACUACACCUGUGGCUCAGUUGUAACUGCUGAUGGUGAUGCUAUGCAGGGCAAAGUCUUUGUACGACUCCAGAUGUCGUGCUCAACUCCCAUCGAGUUCCCAUACUAUUCCUCCAAUAUUGGAAGACAUGACUUAUGCUGCCACUGUGGAAUUGAAAACUGUGUGAAAAACAAAGAAGCCCUGAAAACGCAUAAAGUUGUACUUCCAGUUUGCGUUAACUGUCUCAACAAGGGCAUUCCCAAAAGAAUGCCUAUUAAAAAAUAAUGGACAGAAACAGUUCUAAUUCUUAGUAGUCAUAAUAAAGGUACUCCAAAAACACUGUAUUUUUGUAGUCUAUAAAAAAAAACUUUCUCCUGCCUACCUACCCUAACCUAAACAGUAUGGUCGGGAGAGGAGAAACAAAGAUAUUUUUAAUAACGGCCUUGGUGCAAAGUGGCAUAAUUCUAAUGUCUUCCUUGAUUCUGUAUGUGCCAGUCAAAUUGACAUAUCUUACAGGGUAGUUUCUGAUUGGUUGAUAGGUUAUAGGGCAGGCUCUGUUGAUGAAUUGCGGUAUAAGAGGAUGGUGGAUAUGUAUAAAGACUUGGACAAGAAUAUAGUCUUACUCAAGUCCAUAGUAAGGCUUUCUUCACAAUG